GCGGGACUUCCGGGGAGAGAUAGAGAAGUGACGUUGAUGACAGGAAGUAAAGUGUUCGAGUAUUGCCGGGAAAGGAGGGCAGACGCACAUUGGCGUUGUUGUGUGGUUGAAUCGCAUCUUGUGCAAUUACCGAACAUCAUCGGAGUGCGGCUCAUAAAGCGGGCCCCCCCAUGUUCAGUCACGGAAGAAGUGGACCGCUGUGUCAUCACAUGGGCAACAGAGAUGGAGCCACGUCAGGCGGGUGCGACUUGAAUAUGUCCUUCAUCAGAGCUGCGGGAGGACAAGACGGAUGGGAUCGGGUCUCUGUCGGUGAGGAGGUGACUCCGCCCCUGCGGGCCUGACCCCGCCUCUAGCAGGCCAGUUUCCUCCAGACAGCCCUGCAUUCAAACACCAACAAUAAACACGUGCGAGUGAUGACAACAACAGCUAGCUUGGAGACGUCCUCUCCUCUUCCUCUCACCAGCAACGAGUGGCUCAGGAGGAGCUCCUCCUCCAGCGUUGGGGGGUCGUGCUUGCGUCUCUUGUCUCCAACCAUCAGCCGGGACAGCACCUCAUCGUCCGGGUCGUGAGCCCUGAGAGACGUGCCGAGCGAGAACGUGAGAAACGGCAAUGAUCUUCAGUCACAAACAUUCCAAGAUGGCAGCUCUGUAAACAGAAAAAACUGAAUGUGGUGUCCCGCCGUACCGUUUCCUGUUGACAGCGGGGGGCUCGGAUGAAGAAGCCGGAGGCUUGCUAGCGUCCUCCGGCAUGCCGCUGAAAAAGGUCAGCUGGAAGUCGUCAUCCAUGGAGAUGUAAGGAGCCAACAUUUCCAGAUCCAUCCCAUCCAUGACCUGAGAGAAGACAACGUGGUGGAGGUACUGGUCACUUCAUUAGGUACACGAUAUAGAGAUGCACAGUGGUACCUCGGUUUUUGUUAGUAAUCUGUUCCAAAAGGUUCGAAUUGUACAAAAAAAAAAAGAAUCAAAAGAUCCCUUUAGAAAUUACACUAAUCCAAUGAAUGCGUUCCAUUAUUUAUUCUGUGAUAAAAGGGUGUCAAAAAAAAAAAAGAUUUUUUAAUAAAUUGCAAUUCUUAUGUGUAACGAUUCUUAAUCAAAUCGAAGAAAUCAAAAAUGAUUUAAAAAAAAAAGAGAGAAAUACGUAUAUAUAUAUCAAUCAAUCAAUCAAUGUUUAUUUAUAUAACCCUAAAUCACAAGUGUCUCAAAGGGCUGUACAAGCCACAACGACAUCCUCGGUACAGAGCCCACAUAUACAUAUAUAUAUAUAUAUAUGUAUUUAUAUUUGUGUUUUUUUAAAUAUACAUAUAUAUACACGUAUUUAUCUUUUUGCUUUUUUAAAUCAUUUUUGAUUAAGAAUCGUUAAACAUAAGAAGAGCAAUAUAUUCAAAAAUCGAUUUUUUUUGACACCCUUAUAUAACGGAAUAAAGAUAUACACUACCGUUCAAAAGUUUGGGGUCACCCAAACAAUUUUGUGGAAUAGCCUUCAUUUCUAAGAACAAGAAUAGACUGUCGAGUUUCAGAUGAAAGUUCUCUUUUUCUGGCCAUUUUGAGCGUUUAAUUGACCCCACAAAUGUGAUGCUCCAGAAACUCAGUCUGCUCAAAGGAAGGUCAGUUUUGUAGCUUCUGUAACGAGCUAAACUGUUUUCAGAUGUGUGAACAUGAUUGCACAAGGGUUUUCUAAUAAUCAAUUAGCCUUCUGAGCCAAUGAGCAAACAUAUUGUAUGUACCAUUAGAACACUGGAGUGAUAGUUGCUGGAAAUGUGCUUCUAUACACCUAUGUAGAUAUUGCACCAAAAACCAGACAUUUGCAGCUAGAAUAGUCAUUUACCACAUUAGCAAUGUAUAGAGUGUAUUUCUUUAAAGUUAAGACUAGUUUAAAGUUAUCUUCAUUGAAAAGUACAGUGCUUUUCCUUCAAAAAUAAGGACAUUUACAUGUGACCCCAAACUUUUGAA